UGAAAGACGUAGUAACUUGCGAUAAGCCCAGAUUAGGUAGUAACAGCCAUUUGAGUCUGGGAUUUCUGAAUGGGGAAACCCACUUACAUAAGUAAGUAUCCUUACCUGAAUACAUAGGGUAAGGAGGCGAACCGGGGGAACUGAAACAUCUAAGUACCCCGAGGAAAAGAAAUCAACCGAGAUUCCGAAAGUAGCGGCGAGCGAAAUUGGACUAGCCCUUAAGCUUUACACGCGUUAGACGAACGGUCUGGAAAGUCCGACGAUACAGGGUGAUAGUCCCGUAGUUGACGACGUGUGUUCAGUGAAAUCGAGUAGGGCGGGACACGUGAUAUCCUGUCUGAAUAUGGGGGGACCAUCCUCCAAGGCUAAAUACUACUGACUGACCGAUAGUGAACCAGUACCGUGAGGGAAAGGCGAAAAGAACCCCUGUGAGGGGAGUGAAAUAGAACCUGAAACCGUGUACGUACAAGCAGUAGGAGCAGGCUUUGUCCUGUGACUGCGUACCUUUUGUAUAAUGGGUCAGCGACUUAUAUUCAGUGGCAAGGUUAACCAUCUAGGGGAGCCGUAGGGAAACCGAGUCUUAACUGGGCGUUCAGUCUCUGGAUAUAGACCCGAAACCAGG
rnacentral:rRNA from 1 species